rnacentral:rRNA from 1 species
AGUGAACGCUGGCGGUAGGCCUAACACAUGCAAGUCGAACGGCAGCACAGUAAGCGCGUGCUAUUACGGGUGGCGAGUGACGGACGGGUGAGGAAUACAUCGGAAUCUACUUUUUCGUGGGGGAUAACGUAGGAAAACUUAUGAUACUACAUCAUACCACCUACGAGUGAAAGCAGGGGAUAUUCAUACCUUGCGCGCACGCAUGGACCGAUGUCGGUUUAGCUAGUUGGCGGGUUAAAGGACGACUAAGGCGACGGUCCGUAGCUGGUCUGAGAGGAUGGUCGGCCACACUGGAACUGAGACACGGUCCAGACUCCUACGGGAGGCAGCAGAGGGGAAUAUUGGACAAUGGGGGCAAGCCUGAUCCAGCCAUACCGCGUGGGGGAAGAAGGCCUUCGGGUUGUAAAGCCCUUUUGUUGGGAAAGAAAAGCAGCAGGUUAAUACCCCGCUGUUCGGACGGUACCCAAAGAAUAAGCACCGGCUAACUUCGUG